rnacentral:tRNA from 1 species
UCUAAAGUGGCAGAUAUAAUGCAAUGAAUUUAAGACUCAUUUAUAAAUAAUUUUAUUUCUUUAGAA